rnacentral:rRNA from 1 species
GACGAACGCUGGCGGCGUGCUUAACACAUGCAAGUCUGGGGGCGGGGUGACCCGUCACCGGCGAACGGGUGCGGAACACGUGAGCGACCUGCCCUGUGUGUGGGGGAUAGCCGGCCCAACGGCCGGGUAAUACCGCAUACGUCCCGCGCUUGGAGGCGCUGGGAGAAAGCCCGGAAGGGCGCACGAGGAGGGGCUCGCGGCCUAUCAGCUAGUUGGGGGGGUAACGGCCCACCAAGGCGACGACGGGUAGCUGGUCUGAGAGGAUGGCCAGCCACAUUGGGACUGAGAGACGGCCCAGACUCCUACGGGAGGCAGCAGUGGGGAAUCUUGCGCAAUGGGCGAAAGCCUGACGCAGCGACGCCGCGUGGAGGAUGAGGCCCUUCGGGGUGUAAACUCCUGUUGCUCGGGACGAACGGCGGGCAUCGGCCCGCUUGACGGUACCGGGUGAGGAAGCACCGGCUAACUCUGUG